rnacentral:rRNA from 1 species
UACGUAGGGUGCAAGCGUUAAUCGGAAUUACUGGGCGUAAAGCGUGCGCAGGCGGUUUUGUAAGUCUGACGUGAAAGCCCCGGGCUCAACCUGGGAAUUGCGUUGGAGACUGCAAGGCUUGAAUCUGGCAGAGGGGGGUAGAAUUCCGAGUGUAGCAGUGAAAUGCGUAGAGAUGUGGAGGAACACCGAUGGCGAAGGCAGCCCCCUGGGUCAAGAUUGACGCUCAUGCACGAAAGCGUGGGGAGCAAACAGG